rnacentral:lncRNA from 1 species
UAUGAAAUCAAGUAUUUUAUAGCUGAGUGAUAUGUGUAAACAGUCACCUUGCUGCCAAUCAAAUAGGCUCUAAAUUUAUCAAAUGCAAAAACAACCACUAGCAAAUCUUUUUCAGUGGUGGUAUAGUUGAGUUGUACAUUAGUUAACGUCUUGCUAGCAUAAUAAAUGGAGUGAAAAAUCUUGUCCUUCAUUUACCCUAGUACUGCUCCAACAGAAUGGUCACUAACAUCACACAUCAACUCAAAAUGCAUACUUCAAUUUGCUACUGUAACAAGAGCUUUCUUUAGCUCAAUAAAGGCCUUCAAACAAUCUUUAUUAAAAUUGAAGGGUCUUCAUGUUCUAGCAACAUGCAUAAGGGUUUGGCUAUUUUAGAAAAGUCUUUAAUGAACCUUCUAUAGAACCCAGCAUGUCCUAAGAAACUCCUAAUGCCCUUUACUGAAGUAGGUGGUGGGAGUUUAUCAAUUACCUUUACUUUUGCUUUGUCCACAUCUAUUCCCUUUCUAAAGACUCUAUGGCCUAAGACUAUCCUUUCUUGUACUAUAAAAUUGCACUUUUACCAAUUUAACAGUAAAUUGAUCUCUUCACAUCUCUUAAGCAUUUUUUCUAGAUUAUGCAAGCAGUUAUCAUAUGAUUCACCAAAGACUGAAAAUAUCAUCCAUGAAUACCUACGCAUUUGCUCAACCUUAUCCAAAAAAAUAGACCUCAUGGACCUCUAGAAAGUUGCUGGAGCAUUGCACAAACCUAAUGGCAUCCUUCUAAAAGAAAAGAUUCCAUAAGGACAAGUGAAUGUUGUCUUCUUCUGAUCCUCUAAUGCUAUAACAAUCUCGUUGUAACCUGAAUAUCCAUCCAAGAAACAUUAGUAUUCUUUUCUAGCAAGUCUGUCUAGCAUAUGAUCUAUGAAAGGCAAUGGAAAGUGAUCCUUCCUUAUUGCUUUAUUUAGCUUCCUAUAAUCUAUGCAAACUCUCCAUCCCGUCACUGUUCUUAUGGGAAUAAGCUUGCUUUUUUCAUUUGCUACAACUGUUACUCUACCUUUCUUUGGAAUACAUUGUACUGGACUUACCCAUGACUUGUCUGAUAUUGGGUAAAUAAUUCCAGUAUCAAGCCACUUGAUGAUCUCUUUCUUUGCAAUUUCCUUCAUGAUGAGAUUUAAUCUUUUCUGUUGCUCUACAGAAUUGCUGUAAUAAUACUCUUACAGAAUCUUGUGCAUGCAUAUGGAAGGGUUGAUUCCUUUGAUAUCUAUCAUGGUCUAUCUAAUAGCCAUCUUGUAUCUCCCCAAUACAUCCGAUAAGUUCUUUUAUUGAUCUGCAUUAAAAAAAAUGAAAUGAUUAUAAGAAGUGUGUUAUUGUCACCGAGAUAUGCAUAUUUCAAAUGUGAAGGUAAAAAGUUUUACUUCUGAAAUAGGAGGUGACUCAAUAGAGGGAACAAAAGGUUUUACUUCCCUAUUUGAAAGGUCAAGUGAUUCAAAGUACUUAUCUGUUCCCACGAGUUGCUUCUCCACUAACCAUGCUAUGUUGGCUAUUUUAGGAUCUUCAUCUUCAAGUUCAUCACAUGUUGCAGCCUUAAUUUCUUCCUUACUACAACAACUGUUUAAUCUCUCUGUAAUAGCAAAAUCUACAACACUAAUAAAAUUACAGUCUUCAACAUCAUCUGGAUUCUUUAUGGCAUCUAACACAUUGAAUAGAACUUGUUGAUCAUUAACCUGCAUAGUUAGCUCUCCCUUUUGCAUAUUAAUUAAUGUCUUUCCAAUGGCUAAAAAGGGUCUUCUUAAAAUAAUUAGCACUUCUUUAUCUGCCUCAUAAUCCAACAUUAUGAAAUCCACUGGAAAGGUAAAUUUAUCCACCUUCACCAAUACAUCUUCAAUCUUCCCUUCUGGAUAGGUGUGUUAUAAAGUCACUGUUGUUGGCUGAUUAGUAUUAAAAAUUGUUUAAUUAUCAAGUGAUAAUAUGUUAUUUUAUGCUUAUGUUAUAAUUUAUAUUUGUGUUUAUGUAAUAUAUUAAAAAUUAUUAAUUAUGUUUUAAAUAUAUUUAAUUUUAUUAGGAAAAAUAUUAAUUUCACAUAAUUCGAGGCUCCAAACAAAUAAACGGAGGUCAAAUUUGGAUUCCGGAGGUUCGAAAACCUUAAGAUCGGUCAAGAUCGGCUUAAAAUUGGGCUUGUGUAAAAAAAUUUGACUUUUUCUGUUGACCGAGCACUGAUUGGAUGAUAAAAUGAGCUUACAAUAGAUAUGAGUGCAUGGGAUAGCUGGCAAUUUUGACUAAAUCUCAACCGUUCAUGAUUCAAUGGCCAUGAUUGUGCCACGUGGCAAUGGUUGGUGAAGCAAGUUGUAGGAUCCGAAUCUUUGUAUUCGGGUUGACCCGAUCCACCCAUUAACCCACCAAAUCUCAACCGUUCUUUGGGCAAAUCGGACGAGUCAAACGAUGCCACGUGUGAUGUUGACUUUUGAAGUUUGACCAGCCAUUGGAUCUUGAUCUAAGGGUUGUGAGCAAUUUUAGUUGUUUUUAUUACUUUUAAUUAUAAGUAAUUCAAUUUUACUACUUCCUUUUAUUUUAAUUAUGCUUAACUAAAUAAUUUUGUUAGGGGAAGGUGAAACUCUUAGGAAAUAAAUAUGAUUUAAUCAAAUUGUAUUUUUAAUUUUAUAAAUUAAAUUAUUUUCUAUUUAAUUUCAUACAUAUUUUAUAUUUUGAAAUUUUGAUUUAUUGUAGACAAACAAAUGAGUUUGGCACAAUAAAUUCUUAAUAUCUUAAUAUAAGGUAUGGUAAAAUGGUAUUUUGACUUAUUGUAGACAAAUUAAAUUUUGGCACAAUAAAUACUUAAUCCAUCAUAAAAUUAAAGGGAAAAUAAUAAUAAUUUAUAUAAUUAAUCGUUUUGGCAAUAAAUCUAAAAAAAAGGGUAAAAAGAAUUUAUUAAGUUUUAUUUACUUCUAAGUGUGGAUCCAUAACCCUAACUAGUUCAAUUUCAUAGUUUCAUUUAAAUUAAGUUGUUUAUAUUUAAGUUUUAAUUUCAAUUUUUAUACUUGGGAGUUUAAAAUUACUUUUAAGUUGUGUCAAGUUUUUGGCGCCGUUGCCGGAGAAAAGUUUUUAUUUGGUUUGUUUUUCCGUUUUUUAUUUUUCUCUUAUAUGUAAAUUUUCGUUUGCCCCCUUUUCCUUUUCUUAAAUUCUCUUUUACCCCCACAUCUUUCAUAAUUCUCUUUUGACCCCAACAAUUCUCGUUUCUAUCUCAAUCUUCUCGUAAUUACGUUUUGACCCCAACAUCUUUCAGAAGUUUCACGUUCAUCCCACAUGGCUAAGAAUGGCAAUGGAUCGGAUCUGAUCCAAGAUCCAUGUGAUCCAAAUCCAAUUGGAUCGGAUUUGGGUCAGAUUAAAAUGGAUUUGAAUAUUGAUGCGUGGAUCUAAGGCGGAUCUGGAGCAAAUUCGGAUUUAUCUUAAUAUCUAGAUCCAAAUCCAUAUCCACUCACCAUUUAAUGUAAUUUUAUUUUAAAAAAUUCUUAACAAUUAUGUAAUUAUAAAUGAUGAUAAAAUUUAUUCAUUAGCAUGUAUUUAAGAAUUUUAAAACUUAAAGGUACUUAAUUGAUAAUAAGACAAAAUUUUAUUAAGUGUAAAAUAAAAUUAGGAUAGCUUGCCCUCAUUUUUUUAAGUUUUUCACUCUACAAUUUAAUCUCUUUUUUCCUCUUUAGUUUACUCUCGCUUCUCCACUUCAUUUGAAUGCUUGAAUAAGUUCUUUAAUUGUUAGGAAAAUCGAUAGACUUGAGUUUAUUUUUCUCUCAUUUUCUCAUAAUCUUAUUUAUUUUGUAUAAUCACGAAUCAAUGGUGGCUAUCAACUAUAAAAUAAUUAUGUUAUCAUAUAUUUAGUUAAUAUAUGAUCAUAAUAAAAAUAAUAAAGCACUAAAUAUAAUAAAUCAUUUUAACCUAUAUGUUAUUAUUUAAUGAUAUUAGAAUGUUGAUGGUGUACAGUGAAUAUCAAGAUGGUAAAGGAGGCAUUAGAAUAUUUUAAUGAUUUUAUUUCUUUAAUUACUUUUGAUCGAUAUUUUAUUAUCUUUCUUAUUUGUAUAUUUUGGUGUAAAAGUAGAAGCUACAAUACUUAUUAGAUUUUUUAUACAAAAUAUCUAAUUUAAUUUUUACCAAUGCAUUUUAGUCUUAAAUUUUCUUUCUAAAAAAAUAUUGAUCUCUUAUUAUUGAGAUUUAAAAUUCAUGAUGGAUUUAGAGCAGAUUUGAUUUUUAAUUUUUCUUUUUGGAUUUGGAGCAGAUUUAGAUCUUUAUUUUUUGUUUCGGAUCUAGAUAUGGAGCGAAAAAUAUAGAUCCAUGACGGAUCUGGAGCAUAUACGGAUCUUAAUUUUUUUUACAGGUUUGGAUAUGGAGCAAUAUAGAUCCAAUCCAUAUCUGCGCCAUUGCCAUCCCUACACAUGGCUCAAUUCUAAACUUCUAAAAAUUACGGUGUGGCCAUAAAAUUAAAAAUAAUUUGCAAUAGGAUCCCUAGACGAAAUUCCUCAAAAUAAUCAAGACUUGGACUUACAUCUUGGACAUACUUUGGACAUAUUUGGACUUAUUUUGGACUUAUUUUGGACUUAAUUUGGACCCAACUAACUCUAACUACUAACUCUAACUAUUAACUCUUAACUUACUAACUGCUAAUUGCUAAUGUUUUUUUUCAGUUAUUUAAUUUUCUGCAUUUAUUUUAUUUCGUAUUUAUUUUUUUUGUUUAUUUAUUUUUGCUUUAUUGGUGGGUUCAACCACCAAACUAACUACUAACUCUUAAUUUUUAUUUUCAGUUAUUUAAUUUUCAGUAUUUAUUUUAUUUUAUUUUAUUUUAUUUUUUUCUUUUUUUUAUUGGUGGGUUCAACCACCAUUUUUUUUAGUUAUUUUAUUAUUUUGCAUUUAUUUUUAUUUUUAUUUUUUUUGCUUUAUUGGUGGGUUCAACUACCAAAAUUGUUAUUUAAUUUUAGUUUUAAUUUUCUUUUGUACACUUAUAUUAUUUGCAUAUUUAAUUUUUUUUUUAUUUAGUUCUUUUUAUUUUGUUAUUAAUUUGUGUGAAUACUAUCUUUGUAACAUAACCAUUGCAUGAGACGUUGGUCUCGAACUUUAAGUGGCAGGUUAAUUCGUAGAUCUCAAUCUCCUCCACCAAUCAUGGAUGAGAGUCAAGACGAAAACAUUUUGGGCGAACUUAAUCCUCAAAUUGAUCAGGGAGACAACCAUUCUGAACAUGGGCAUGAUCAGAAUCAACCAAGAACUCUGAGAGACUGCAUGAAUCCAACCAGAACCGGAGCACCGUCAUGUAUAGUAUUUCCUCCAGAAGCAUCUUGAUUCAACUUUAAACCAGGUAUUAUCCAACUUUUACCAACAUUUCAUGGUUUAGAAUUCGAGAAUCCGUACUUGCAUCUAAGAGAUUUUGAGGAAGUUUGUAAUACAUACACAGACAAAAAUUGUAGCAUGAACAUAAUUAGGUUAAAGCUUUUUCCUUUUUCAUUAAAAGAUAAAGCUAAAACUUGGCUACAAAACCUUAGAUCUGGAUCAGUAAGAACUUGGAAUAACAUGCAAGAACAGUUUUUGAAAAAAAAAUUUCCACCUCAUAGAACAAAUUCUUUUAAAAGGCAAAUCACUUCUUUCACUCAAAAAAAUAGAGAAACAUUAUACCAAUGUUGGGAUAGGUUUAAAGAGUUGUUCAACCUAUGUCCACAUCAUGGUUUUGAAACUUGGCGAUUGGUCACUUACUUCUACGAGGGCUUAAUACCCCAAAGUAGACAGGUUGUUGAAAUAAUGUGUAAUGGUGAAUUUAGGGAUAAAAAUCCUAAGGAUACACUAGAUUACCUUGACCAAUUAGCUGAAAAUGCACAACAUUGGGAUACUGUUGGAACUUUUGAAUUGACAAAUAAGCAACAACCAUCUCCAUCUAGUGGAGGAAUCCAUAACCUUAGGGAAGAUCAUGAUUUACAAGCAAAAUUUGCAUCCCUAGUUAGGAAGGUUGAAGCUUUAGAGCAUAAAAAAAGUGAUCAAGUAAAAUCUGUUCAAGAAAUUGCAUGUAACAUAUGUAGUUCGAAUGAUCAUUUCACUCAAGAUUGUCCCACUCUAUCUGCACUUAAAGAAUGUCUAAAUGAUCAAGCUAAUGCCAUUAACACCUUUAAUAAACCAAACCCAUAUUCACAGACUUAUAAUCCUGGUUGGAGAAAUCAUCUAAAUUUCAGUUGGAGGAAUAAUAAUAAUGCACAAUCUUCAAAAGCAUCACCUCCACAAAAUUUCCAAAAUGCUCAGCCUUAUGCACCAUAUGUUCCACCACCAUGGAAAAAUCUGGAAGACACAAUGCAUUCAUUCAUCAGAAAGCAAGAUGUUAUUAACAAUCAAAAUGCACAAACUUUUUCUGAUUUGAAAGAUACUCUUACUAAAGUUGCUUCUGCACUCACAAUUCAAGAAAAAGGAAAAUUUCCAGCCCAACCACAACCAAAUCCUAAGAUUCAACAAAAUCCACCCGCAGACCAAGUCAAGUCAGUUAUAACUCUUCGUAGUGGUAAGGUUGUUGAUAGACCUAUGCCUGAACCUUGUGAAAAUGAUGAAAAUUCAAAGGGUAAGGAAGGACUAAAUGAACUUACACCUAGUGAAGAAAUAACUAGUGUUCCACCUUAACCACCAUUUCCGCAUGCAUUGAAUAAACCAAGGAAAUCAAACCACUCUUCUGAAAUUUAUGAAAUCUUUAAGCAAGUGAAAGUUAACAUUCCUCUAUUAGAUGCAAUCAAGCAGGUACCUUCAUAUGCCAAAUUUUUAAAAGACUUGUGCAUUGUUAAAGAGGAAAUUGAAGGUCAGAAAUAGUGCUUUCAUGGCCGAACAGGUAAGUACAAUUAUGUCUACUAAUAAUAAGUUAAAAUAUAAAGAUCCUGGUUGUCCUACCAUUUCUUGUAUUAUUGGUAAUCACAUAAUUGAGCAUGCUUUACUAGAUCUUAGUGCUAGUGUUAAUUUGCUUCCAUAUUCAGUUUAUCUUUAACUUAAUCUUGAUGAGUUAAAAUCAACUUCAACUACACUUUUGCUUGCCGAUAGAUCAGUUAAAGUACCAAAAGGAAUAGUGGAAGAUGUUUUAGUACAAGUUGAUAAAUUCAUAUACCAUGUGGAUUUUAUUGUCUUGGAAACUGAACCUGUUGUGAAUAAUUACAAACCAAUUCCUAUAAUUUUAGGUCGACCAUUUUUAGCAACUGCUAAUGCUUUGAUUAAUUGUAGGAAUGGUUUAAUGAAUUUAUCUUUUGGGAAUAUGACUUUGGAAUUGAAUGUUUUCAACAUGUACAGGCAACCUAAUGAAGAAAAUGAGAAUGAAGAUGAUACUGAUGAUAAAAAGAAUUGCUUGAAUCUUGUAUUGAGGAAAAUAUUCAAAAAGGGGAAUUUUCUGAACUCUUUGAUGUUUGUUUAGUUAAUUCAAUUGAGUCAAAUAAGCAACUUGAACUUAAUAUUUCUAAUAUAAAUUCGUUGCUUGAUUCUGUGCAGACUUCACAAAAUUAUGAUGACGAGCCAAAAUUUGAGGAGCUUGGAAGUAUUGAAAAGACAGAACAACAAGAAGCACUUAAACUGGAAUUGAAACAUUUGCCUGAAGGAUUGAAGUAUGCUUUUCUUGGAGAAGAACAAACUUAUCCUGUUGUGAUUUCUUCUACUUUAACAAGCGACCAAGAAGGUAAGUUACUAACUGUUCUUAAAAAGCAUAAAAAUGCAAUUGGAUGGACUUUAAAUGAUAUUAAAGGCAUUAAUCCCUUAAUAUGCACACAUAGAAUUAAUUUGGAAGAAAAUGCUAAAACAUGUCAACAACCUCAAAGAAGAUUAAACCCACACAUGAGAAGUCCUUAAAUUUCUUAAUGUGGGAAUUAUCUACCCUAUUUCUGAUAGUAAGUGGGUAAGUUCUACACAAGUAGUGCCUAAAAAAUCUGGAAUCACUGUUGUUAAAAAUGAAAAAGGUGAAUUAAUUCCAACACAAAUUACAUCUAGUUGGCGCAUGUGCAUUGAUUAUAGAAAGUUAAAUGAAGCCACUAGAAAAGAUCAUUUUCCAUUACCAUUCCUUGACCAAAUCGUAGAAAGAGUAGCAGGACAUCCCUACUACUGUUUUUUAGAUGGAUAUUCAAGUUAUUAUCAAAUUCCUAUAGCACUUGAGGACCAAGAAAAUACCUCAUUUACAUGUCCUUUUGGGACAUUUGCAUUUAAAAGAAUGUCAUUUGGGCUUUGUAAUGCUCCUGCAACAUUUCAAAGAUGUAUGUUAAGCAUUUUUUGUGAUAUGGUUGAACAUUGUUUAGAGGUCUUUAUGGAUGAUUUAACUGUGUUUGGGAAUUCUUUUGAUGAUUGCCUUGAUAAUUUGGAGAAAGUUUUGAGAAGAUGUGUUGAAAAAGAACUCGUGUUGAAUUAGGAAAAAUGUCACUACAUGGUUACUUCUGGAAUUGUUUUGGAUCAUGUUGUUUCUGUUAAAGGAAUUGAAGUUGAUAAAGCAAAAAUUUAAUGUCAUUUGGGCUUUGUAAUGCUCAUGCAACAUUUCAAAGAUGUAUGCUAAGCAUUUUUUGUGAUAUGGUUGAACAUUGUUUAGAGGUCUUUAUGGAAGAUUUAACUGUGUUUGGGAAUUCUUUUGAUGAUUGCCUUGAUAAUUUGGAGAAAGUUUUGAGAAGAUGUGUUGAAAAAGAACUCGUGUUGAAUUAGGAAAAAUGUCACUACAUGGUUACUUCUGGAAUUGUUUUGGAUCAUGUUGUUUCUGUUAAAGGAAUUGAAGUUGAUAAAGCAAAAAUUGAAUCAUAUCUAAAUUGCCACAACCAAAAACAGUUAGAGAUGUGCGAUCUUUUUUAGGACAUGCAGGAUUUCAUAGGAGGUUUAUAAAAAACUUUAGUGUUAUAUCUAAACCACUUUGUAACCUCUUAUUAAAAGAUGCACCGUUUGACUAGAAUGAUGAUUGCCAAAAAUCUUUUGAGAAAAUAAUUUGUCUUUUAACAUCUGCACCUAUUAUGCAAUCUCUUGAUUGGUUUUUGCCCUUUGAAUUAAUGUGUGAUGCAAGUGAUUUUACUGUUGGUGUUGUUUUAGGAUAAAAAAGGGAUGGUAAGCCUUUUGUGAUUUAUUAUGCGAGUAAGACUUUGGAUAGUGCUCAAAUGAAUUAUUCUACAACUGAAAAAGAAUUACUUGCUGUGGUAUUUUCAUUAAACAAAUUCCGUUCAUAUUUGCUUGGCUUUAAAUCUGUUGUGUUUAUUGACCACGCUGUUAUGAGAUAUUUGAUGAGUAAACAGGAUGCCAAACCGAGACUAAUUCGUUGGAUUUUGUCUUUGAAUUAAUGCGUGAUGCAAGUGAUUUUGAUGUUGGUGUUGUUUUAGGACAAAGAAAUGAUGAUAAGCCUUUUGUGAUUUAUUAUGCAAGUAAGACUUUGGAUAGUGCUCAAAUGAAUUAUUCUACAACUGAAAAAGAAUUACUUGCUGUGGUAUUUUUGCUGUGGUAUUUGCAUUAAACAAAUUCCGUUCAUAUUUGCUUGGCUCUAAAUCUAUUGUGUUUGAUGACCACGCUGCUGUGAGAUAUUUGAUGAGUAAACAGAAUGCCAAACCGAGACUAAUCUGUUGGAUUUUGUUACUUCAAGAAUUUGACCUUACCAUCAAAGAUAAAAAGGGUGCUGAAAAUGUCGUUGCUGAUCAUCUAUCAAGACUCACAUCCGAAUUCUGCAAUGAUAUAACACCCAUCAAUGAUUCUUUCCCUGAUGAAUUUUUAUUUUCUAUUACUUCAAUGCCAUGGUAUGCUAACAUUGUUAAUUUUCUUGUUACAGGUAAAAUGCCUUUGCAAUGGAAUGCUCAAGAGAAGAAGAAAUUUUUUGUUGAAGUAAAGAAAUUUUAUUGGGAUGAUCCUUAUUUGUUCAAAUAUUGCUCAGAUCAAAUUUUUCGGCGAUGUAUUCUUGAUAAUGAGGUAAGUAGUGUCAUUAAUUUUUAUCAUUCUGAAGCAUGUGGUGGCCACUUUUCGUCAAGAAAAACUACUGCUAAACUUUUGCAGUGUGGAUUUUAUUGGCCUACCAUGUUCAAAGACACAUGAAUUUUGCAAAACUUGUGAAAAAUGUCAAAAAUUGGGAUCAAUUACAAAAUGAAACAUGAUGCCCUUAAAUCCCAUACUUGAAAUUGAAAUAUUUGACUGUUGGGGAAUUGAUUUCAUGGGUCCGUUUCCAUCAUCUUUUGGAUUUGUGUAUAUAUUAGUUGCAGUUGAUUAUGUCUCCAAAUGGAUUGAAGCAAUUUCUUGUCGAAAUAAUGAUAGUAAAACUGUGGUUAAAUUUUUAAGAGAAAACAUUUUAAGUCGAUUUGGAAUCCCUCGAGCCAUUAUCAGUGAUGGAGGUAAGCAUUUUUGUAAUAAGUCAUUUGACUCUUUAAUGAAGAAAUAUGGAAUUACACAUAAAGUUGUUACCCCUUAUCAUCCUCAAACAAAUGGUCAAGUUGAAUUAGCAAAUAGGGAGAUAAAACAAAUUUUGGAAAAAACUGUUAACCCAAACCGAAAAGAUUGGUUUCUUAGACUUAAUGAUGCACUUUGGGCCUACCGUACUGCAUUUAAAACGUCAUUAGGAAUGUCACCCUAUCGGUUAGUUUAUGGUAAACCUUGUCAUUUACCUAUUGAACUUGAACAUAAAUCACUUUAGGCUAUUAAAGCUUUUAAUUCAAAUUUGGAUGAUGCUGGUAAUGUGCGAAAAUUACAAUUGAAUGAACUUGAGGAAUUAAGGAAUGAUACAUAUGAAAAUUUAAGAAUUAUUAAGGCAAGAACAAAAGCAUUUCAUGAUAAAAGAAUUUUUCAAAAAACAUUUGAGAUUGGUCAAAAAGUGUUGCUUUAUAAUUCUCGUCUUCAUUUAUUUUCAGGAAAGUUAAAGUCAAAAUGGAGUGGCCCAUUUGUUGUAAAAAAUGUAUAUUCAUAUGGGGCCAUAAAAAUUGAGAAUCCAAAGAACGAUGUCACAUUUAAAGUUAAUGGUCAAAGAUUAAAACCAUAUCUAGAACAUCACCCACGUGACGAGGACACCGAAAUUAAUUUGGGUGACCCACCAGUUCUUGAUUAAGUCUUUAAUGACUGAUUUUUUUUUGUGUUUUACUAUUAUUUUGCCGUUUCAUUGUUUGAUUUUUUUUUCUCUAGAUUGAUGCACUAUACAUAAUUUUUUUAGCAUUAUUUUUCUUGUUUAAGCGUGUUUGUUUGACAAUUGUUCAUUCUCUCAUCAAUUUUCAUUAUUCAUCAUGAGUACUUCAAUAAGAAACUUCUUUUUCACACAUCUUAAAAGACUUAUACGAGGGAGAUUUAAUAUGAGAAGAUUGAUACAAAGCUAUAAAUCACAUCCACUUUGGGAUCUGCAACCACAGAAUUCGUGUCCUAUGUUGAGGAUCUAGAAGGACAACUUAGAGAAAUAGAGCGUGGUAUAUAUGAAUUUCAAUUAGAUCUUGAGGUUAACUCAAUGAGAGGACGAAUGUAAGUUCAUUUUCCUUUUUACAUUGUGUGUUUAUUUUUGUUGUUCGCCUUCACGUUUGAUUUGAUUUUGCAGCUUUGAUUUUGGUGUAUUUUGGUUUAUUUUCCCGUAUAAAUGGCGUAAGUCGGUAUUAUUGAAGCAAGGUCCGAUUAGCAGGUGAGUUUUCUGAUCCAUAUUAUUUUACUUCACUAUUAUUUUAUCAUUUGCAUUAUUGCAUUUAGUGGUGUGAUUUUGUAUUUAAUAAAUAUUUGUUUUCUUUUACUAUUUGCUUUUGAAUUAUUGAGCCACGAGCUUUACUCGUCAUUUGACAAAUAUGCCAACCCAUUUACAGCUGUUUCUCAUUAUUUCUGUCACCAAGAUCUUUAAAUAUGAGCUCGCUUUUCAAAAACUCACAACUUGUUUUUGAAAGAUUAGUCCAAUGGCAGCAUCUUCGAGUAAACAAUUCAAAAAUAUUUGUAUGUUUUCUGGGUUUCACUAUGGAAAGUACAAAGAGUUUGUUCAGGCAGCAGUAGAUCUUGGUCGUGUCAUAGCAGAGAGGAAACUGCAUCUUGUAUAUGGAGGAGGUGAAUGAGGGUUAUCCAGACUUGUCUCAGAAGCUGUUUUUACUAGAAAAAGCCAAGUACUAGGCAUUAUCCCAAAAGCCAUGAAACCGCUAGUGUGCAUGUCUGGCCCACCAAUUGGAGAAGAAUUAGUGGUAUCAAGUAUGCAAGAGAGAAUAUCUGAAAUGAUGAAUCAUGCUGAUGCUUUUAUUUUCUUGCAGUGGCCCAUUUGUUGUAAAAAAUGUAUAUUCAUAUGGGGCCAUAAAAAUUGAGAAUCCAAAGAACGAUGUCACAUUUAAAGUUAAUGGUCAAAGAUUAAAACCAUAUCUAGAACAUCACCCACGUGACGAGGACACCGAAAUUAAUUUGGGUGACCCACCAGUUCUUGAUUAAGUCUUUAAUGACUGAUUUUUUUUUGUGUUUUACUAUUAUUUUGCCGUUUCAUUGUUUGAUUUUUUUUUCUCUAGAUUGAUGCACUAUACAUAAUUUUUUUAGCAUUAUUUUUCUUGUUUAAGCGUGUUUGUUUGACAAUUGUUCAUUCUCUCAUCAAUUUUCAUUAUUCAUCAUGAGUACUUCAAUAAGAAACUUCUUUUUCACACAUCUUAAAAGACUUAUACGAGGGAGAUUUAAUAUGAGAAGAUUGAUACAAAGCUAUAAAUCACAUCCACUUUGGGAUCUGCAACCACAGAAUUCGUGUCCUAUGUUGAGGAUCUAGAAGGACAACUUAGAGAAAUAGAGCGUGGUAUAUAUGAAUUUCAAUUAGAUCUUGAGGUUAACUCAAUGAGAGGACGAAUGUAAGUUCAUUUUCCUUUUUACAUUGUGUGUUUAUUUUUGUUGUUCGCCUUCACGUUUGAUUUGAUUUUGCAGCUUUGAUUUUGGUGUAUUUUGGUUUAUUUUCCCGUAUAAAUGGCGUAAGUCGGUAUUAUUGAAGCAAGGUCCGAUUAGCAGGUGAGUUUUCUGAUCCAUUUGUUUCUUACAUGCCUAGUUUUGGUAAAAGUACGUUUGCUAAGAAAAGAAGAGCUAAAUGACUUGGCUCAAAAUGUCAUUACUGUGUAAGACUUGGUUGCAAACGAGAAGUUUGUAAAUCUUUAGGAAUGGUGUCUGAUACUCGUGAAGAUAAAAUUAAAUUCGUUAAAGAUGGCCUGAGUAAAGAAUCAUUGGAUGAUAUCUUACGAUCUCUUGAGACGUAUCGUAGCGGACAUGUGCAAUAUGAGAUAUACAAGUUAUGGAGACUAUUCUAAACACAAAGUUCACAGUUUAGUCUUGGGAAUCUGACUCAAAAAGACCAUAUUUGCCAGUUUAUAAGAAAACUGGAUGGGAAGCCUAUCCUUGACCCAUAGAGGGCGUUCAAGCCGUUACUGGACGUAAAACCAGAGGAAUAUGUGAGCCACAAUCACAACUACCAGUAAAUAUCCUUUUACUUCACUAUUAUUUUACUUCACUAUUAUUUUAUCAUUUGCAUUAUUGCAUUUAGUGGUGUGAUUUUGUAUUUAAUAAAUAUUUGUUUUCUUUUACUAUUUGCUUUUGAAUUAUUGAGCCACGAGCUUUACUCGUCAUUUGACAAAUAUGCCAACCCAUUUACAGCUGUUUCUCAUUAUUUCUGUCACCAAGAUCUUUAAAUAUGAGCUCGCUUUUCAAAAACUCACAACUUGUUUUUGAAAGAUUAGUCCAAUGGCAGCAUCUUCGAGUAAACAAUUCAAAAAUAUUUGUAUGUUUUCUGGGUUUCACUAUGGAAAGUACAAAGAGUUUGUUCAGGCAGCAGUAGAUCUUGGUCGUGUCAUAGCAGAGAGGAAACUGCAUCUUGUAUAUGGAGGAGGUGAAUGAGGGUUAUCCAGACUUGUCUCAGAAGCUGUUUUUACUAGAAAAAGCCAAGUACUAGGCAUUAUCCCAAAAGCCAUGAAACCGCUAGUGUGCAUGUCUGGCCCACCAAUUGGAGAAGAAUUAGUGGUAUCAAGUAUGCAAGAGAGAAUAUCUGAAAUGAUGAAUCAUGCUGAUGCUUUUAUUUUCUUGCUAGGAGAUCUUGCAACUUUUGAGGCACUGAUUACGUUUGCAUCUUGGGCCCACUUGAACAUUUAUAAAAAACCCAUCGGUUUGUUAAAUGUUAAUAAUUUUUAUGAUGGCUUUCUAACUUUUAUUAACAAUGCAAUAAAGAAUCAUUUUGUUCCAUAUUCUGUAAAAAAACUCUUUAUCUCUGCUUCUACUACUAAUGAGUUACUUGAUCUUUUACAAGCUUAUACACCAGAGCCAGAUCCAAAGACUUUUGCACUGAAUUGGUCGACUGAUGAUGGUAGCGGUAACAGUAGCAGUAAUAAAAAGUACGAAUUAGAUUUAACUCUCCGUCUGUAAAUAUUUUAUGUUGCAGUGUUUAUGUACCGUCUUCUAAACUCUUUCUCUUUCCUUUUAAAACAUUGAGGACAAUGUCUUUUUCAGGUUGGGGGGAGGGAAUAGUUGAUAAUUGUGGAAUGUCUUAGUCCUAGUGAUGCUUUUACAAAUUUUUUUCCUGUAAAGACUAACUUUGGACUAAAUUUGAGUAGAAGAUGGCAGGAUAUGGAGAGUGCAGUACCUUUAGAAACGCAUCUUCUUAAAUUAGGGUUGACUAACUUAGGACAAAUUUGAGUCGAAGAUGGCAGGAUAUAGAGAAUGUAGUACCUCUAGAAACGCAUCUUCUUAAUCUUAAGAGUGUUGUUUAAAAAAAAAUUGACUUUUUCUUGUUCUUUGUUAUAUGCUUUUAAGCUUCUACAUCAAGUUCAGGUGAGAUCUCCUCCUCUUCUUCUUUUAUUAUUCUCCUUUAUUAUUAUUAUUAUUAUUUUUUGCAUAUUUGUAAAAUUAUAAAAUGUUAAGAUAAUGUUUAGAUUAGGUUGGGGGGUGGGGAGAGUUGACGUAUGUUUUUAAAUACGUGUGUUGUUUUUCUUUUUUUCUUUUCUUUUCUUUGUUUAAAAAAAACCCAAAAAAAAAAAUUAUUUUUGUCUAGGAUGGCUGUGCAAAGAGUCACGACUUUUGAGACGCAUCCUAAUAGUCUUGUUGUAUUAUAUUUUGAUUUUGAAAUUCAUAGUAAAUUGUUUUUAUUCCCUUUUCUUUGAAUUACUCGAAUUUGUGAACUCUCCACUUGGUUAUUAAAUUAUUUAAUUGUUUACUCAUUUAACAGGUAUUAUUGAAUCAUUCUUCACACACACACUAUGACACAUACUAGUGGGUUGGAAGUUAAAAUUUUACAGCAUUUAGUUCUUUUGAUUUAUUAGGAAUAGUAUCUAAGGUAGUAGAAAGUGUAUAUUGCAAAAAAACAAAAACAAAAAAAAAAACAAAAGAAGAAGAAAAAAAAAAGAAAAAAAUGUUUUAUUUUUUUUAUUUUGCUAUAUCUAGAACCCGAGUAAUUAAGUCAGUAAGGGUGUUUCAACACCUAGUGCCCUAAGGUCAACUGGUCUGGGAGUCACUGGCCUAAAGCUUGCUACAUGGGUAAUAGAUAUAUUGUUUGUUUAUUAGAAACCUGAGUAAUUAAGUCCGUAGGGGUGCUUCAACACCUAGUGCCUUAAGGCCAACUGGUCUGGGAGUCACUGACCUAAAACUCGCUACACGGGUUAGAAAUGUAAUAUUUUAAAAAUAUGUGUGAAUAAUCUACUGCCUAAAGAUAGAAUUUCUAAUCAAAAACAAAAAAAAAAACAAAAGAAGAAGAAAAAAAAAAGAAAAAAAUGUUUUAUUUUUUUUAUUUUGCUAUAUCUAGAACCCGAGUAAUUAAGUCAGUAAGGGUGUUUCAACACCUAGUGCCCUAAGGUCAACUGGUCUGGGAGUCACUGGCCUAAAGCUUGCUACAUGGGUAAUAGAUAUAUUGUUUGUUUAUUAGAAACCUGAGUAAUUAAGUCCGUAGGGGUGCUUCAACACCUAGUGCCUUAAGGCCAACUGGUCUGGGAGUCACUGACCUAAAACUCGCUACACGGGUUAGAAAUGUAAUAUUUUAAAAAUAUGUGUGAAUAAUCUACUGCCUAAAGAUAGAAUUUCUAAUGAAUUUUGGAACGAAAAUGUUGUUUUUCUUUUAAUGAAGCCCCAUAAGUAUUGUGUUAAUUACUUGAGCACAAAAGAAGGUUUGAUGAUAUUCUGGAUAAUGAGUGAAUAUCAAUGUUGUAAAGAAAUUUGGGAGAGUUCAUUUAUUUAGUAGUUUAGAGGAUAGAUGAACAACUAUUAACUUGCAUGUGAAUUUUAUAAAUCUUAAUUUAAUAUAACGCUUUAAUUGCUAGAGGGCUAGCAAUAAGCUGGUUGGGGGGUGUGAUUAGUAUUAAAAAUUGUUUAAUUAUCAAGCGAUAAUAAUAUAUUAGAAAUUAUUAAUUAUGUUUUAAAUAAAUUUAAUUUUGUGUAUUUUUAUGUGUUUAUUAGGAAAUAUAUUAAUUUCACGGAAUUCGAGGCUCCAAACAGAUAAACGGAGGUCAAAUUUGGAUUUCGGAGGUCUGGAAACCUUAAGAUCAGUCAAGAUCGGCUUAAAAUUGGGCUUGUGUAAAAAAAGUUGACUUUUUCUGUUGACCGAGCACUGAUUGGAUGAUGAAAUGAGCUUACAAUAGAUAUGAGUGCAUGGGAUAUCUGGUAAUUUUGACUAAAUCUCAACCAUUCAUGAUUCAAUGGCCAUGAUUGUGCCACGUGGCAAUGGUUAGUGAAGCAAGUUGUAGGAUCCGAAUCUUUGUAUACGGGUCGACCCGAUCCACUCAUUAACCCGCCAAAUCUCAACCGUUCUUUGGAUAAAUCAAACAAGUCAAAUGAUGCCACAAAUUCUGUCAAUCUCCCUGUAAUCUUGAUUUUCAGGUGUGUUUAUAAUAUUUUCUAUAAUUAUUUUUAUAAAUAAAAUUAGUUUUAUUUCCAAUUUAAAAUUUGGAUUUAUUGUAGACAAACAAAUGAAUUUGGCACAAUAAAUUCUUAAUAUCUUAAUAUACUGCUGUACCGUACAUCCGCCUUGGCCGUACAGAUAUAAGGCAUGGUGAAAUGGUAUUUUGACUUAUUGUAGACAAAUUAAAUUUUGACACAAUAAAUACUUAAUCCAUCAUAAAAUUAAAGGGAAAAUAAUAAUAAUUUACAAUUAAUCUUUUGGGAAAUAAAUCUAAAAAAAAAGGUAAAAAGAAUUUAUUAAGUUUUAUUUACUUCUAAGAGUGGAUCCAUAACCCUAACUAGCUCAAUUUCAUAGUUUCAUUUAAAUUAAGUUGUUUAUAUUUAAGUUUUAAUUUCAAUUUNNNNCAUAGUUUCACAUAAAUUAAGUUGUUUAUAUUUAAGUUUUAAUUUCAAUUUCAUUUUUUAGAUAAAAUAAAAUAAAUAAAUUAAAUCUUUUCUCUAAGGAUCGACCUCGGACUCAUUGAGCUAUAAUAUAAUAAGAUACUCUUAUAUUUGGGAGUUAAAAAUUACUUUUAAUUUAUGGGCCUAACUUCUCAAACUCUCAAUUGCUUGAACAUUGAUAAAGGUAUAAAAUUAAUGCUAGCCCCCAUAUCACAAAGUGCCUUACCAUUGUACUUAGUUCCUAUGGAAUUUGGGAUUGUGAAACUCCUUGGAUCUUUCAACUUCUGAGGAAUUUUGUUUUGAAGCAUAUGGCUACAUUCUUGUGUUAGAGCAACAGUUUCUAACUCUCCAAGCCUUUUUUUCUUUACCAAAAUACCUUUUAAGAACUUCACAUAAUUUGGCAUUUGUUCUAGGGCUUCCACAAGAGGAAUAUUAAUAUGUAGUUACUUUACACUUCCAAGAAUUUGCUGAAUUGCUUAUCUUACUCUUGCUUUUAGAAUCUUUAAGGGAAAGAUGAUGGGUAUCUGAACUAUUGUGCUAUUGUAGGCUGUACAGACUACUUCUUUUUUGCCAUGUUAUGGGCUGAUGUGGAUGGUGUUGUGGGAUCUUUACCAUCAUGUGGUGGAUCAUCAUUUUCUGUAGAUAUUGUAACUUGGCUAUUCACACCAGUGGGUCGGAAAGUAGGUUGUUGUGGCUCUUUUUCAAAUUGAGUUUCUUCUUGGGCUAAAAUGGGUUCAACGCUUCUUUUUGUGCACCAACUGAAAUAUAAACAUUAUUUCUAGGCCUUAAAUUAAUCACCUUGUAUUGUUCCUUUCCUUCUCAUCUUGGAUCCUCUGUAUUGUUGGGUAAACUACCCUGAGGUCUGUUACUCAAUGUUGUAACAAGCUAUCCAAUCUGAUUUUCAAAGUUUCUUAAGGAUACAACUUAACUCUGAACUACUGCUUCACUUUUCACAAUGUACUCUUUGAUCAAAGCUUCAAGAGAACUGAGUUGAUUAUUGUUGGUGCUUCUUUGCCUUUAAUUUUGUUGGUGAAAUCCAGGUGGUUGAGCAUGCCUAUUUUGUCCACUGGAUGCUGCAACAUUAUGGUUUUAAUUGCUCCAUGAGAAGUUUGGGUGCUGUCUCCAUCCAAGAUUAUUUUGAUUCUAUCUAUUGAAGUUACCCACAUAGUUAACUGAUGCUGGAUUUCCAAGACAAUUGUCAAAUAAAUGCCCUUUUCCACAAUAAACACAAGAGACCUCAUGUAACUUGGUUAACAGUUGCUGGAGCAGUAGUCACAACUUUCACCAUAUUUGUUAAUGAGGUUACUUGGGCUGAUAAUGUUGUCAAGGCGUCUACAUUAUGGAUUCCUUCUGCUCCUCUUGCUGCAGCUUCUUGGUAGAUGGCCACUUAUAAUUAUUUUUGCUAUCCUUUCCAAAAUUUCAUAAGCCUCAUUAUAAGACAUAUAUAACAAGGCUCCAAUUGCUGAAGCGUCCACCAUUAAUCUAGUGCUUGGAUUAAGAUCAUUGUAAAAGGUUUUCAAUUGUAUACAUCAAGGAAUGCCAUAAUGAGGACAUCUCCUGAGUAACUCUUUGAACUUUUCCCAUGCAUCAUACAAGCUCUCAUCUUCAAGUUGAUGGAAGGAUGUGAUCUCAUUUCUUAAUUUUGUACUCUUGGUUGGUGGAAAGUAUUUCAUCAAACAUUUGUUAGCCAAGUCAUUCCAUAUGGUGAUGGAAUCAGGUUGUAGGGAGUUCAACCAUGCUCUUGCUCGAUCCCUUAAAGAAAACGAGAAAAUUCUGCGGCUUAAUGCUUUAUGUGAUGCUCUAGUAAUCUUAAAAGCAUCACUUACUUCAAAAAACAACUUAAAGCAUAGGUGAGGAUCUUCUAAUGGCAGUCCAUUGAAUUGCCCCCCCACUAUCUAUAGCAUCUGAAACAUCACUAGUUUGAGCUCAAAAUUAUCAGCUUGCACUUCAGGUCUAACUAUUCCAGAAUUUAUGGCUUGAGGGGUCAGCACUGCAUAAUCUCUAGUGGCUUUAUCUCUAUCAUCUGCCAUAUGAAUAAUAUUAUUAUUCUCUGGUUGCCCAUAAAUAAUCUACCCAUUCUAACAUUCUUGACCUCCUUGUGCAUUUACUGGUUCAAUUACUCUACGAGGGUUCAAAUUCCUCAUAUCUUGCAAAUCAUCCAUUGCUACAACAAUUUUUGAAUUUCUUUACUCUUUUCUCAAUCUCCUUGUAGUUCUUUCAAUUUUUGGAUCAAACUAAAAUUCAACAGUUCUAUAUUGUGUAUGCAAGGGUUCCUAGAUUACUCUUGUUAACAAAAUAAACAAAUUAAAAUUAAAUUAAAAAUUAGCACCGAUUAAGAUUAAUUUCAUAAAUCACAACGAACAAUCAAUACCCGACAAUGGUGCCAAAAAUUUGUAGGGUGAUUUUUAUUGCUAUGGGUGUCAAUGUGCAAGUGUAGACAACAAGUAAUAUACUGAUGACUAUUUAGAUCGUCUCUACAGGAAUUGAUGUUAUCAAAUUUGCUACAACAAUCCUAACAGUAUAAUUUCUAUUUAAAUUAAAGCAAAAUAAUUAAUGAGACGAAUAAACUAACUAAAUUAAAAUGAAUGUAACAAAUAGUUUUCAAUGAGAAAAAAAUCUCAAGCCAACCACCAGGACAAACUCAAUGGGAAUAGAGUAGUUAAGUAAUUAAACUCACUUAAUGGUGUUGACUGUUUCUCUAAUUUAGACCCUGUUGCUACAGUACCUACUACAGCACUGGGCAGAAUCCCUUAUGCAUCCUCAGCUAUCGCCUGUUAGAUAUCUUAUAUCUAAAUGCAACUUAACAGUGACCAUUUGUUAUGCUAACAUCAUACAUAACAUUAUGCAUUGUAGGUUCCACUUACUCUACAAAGUGAAUCCUUAUGUCUAGUUCUUCUUAGAUCAAGCAUGGCCCUAUUCAAGUUAAGUAAAUCUCAACUUGAGAAAUCCAAUCUAAAAUCAAGUAUUGUCUUAAAUUGACCCACUAAGUUAGACAUUUUUUUAGGUUUUUUCUUAGCUAGUAUCCAUUAAAUGGGUGGUCAGCCCAAAUAGAGAAUUGCAAUAAAUAAAAUUAAGACAAAAUGCUAUAGCAAAUACAAAGCAACACACAUAUGUCAAUCAAACAUCCAUUAAGAUCGUUUCUCACUCAACCACAAUCAAAUUCAGUUCAUGAUUUGUGAUAGAAUAGUAAAUAAAUUGUUUUAACCAUUAAAUACAUCCUCAUCAAUAAAUAAAAACAAGAAAAUAAAAAAGAAGAACUGAGUUAUGCUUGGUUUUUGUAAUUUCUACUUUGUUUUCUCCUUGAGUCCUCUGUUAUAGCCCUCAAAUCUAUCUCUAAAUUUUUGUUUUCUUAUUGUUUUUCUUUGUAUUCUCCUUAACUAUAUUAUAAAAGAAUAGAAAAUAAAUUUGACUUGAAUUCACUCAGUUUUUUAUUUGAAUUAAAUUUAACUUGAAAGAAAGAUGAAUCAAGAGAUUUUUUGGUACGAUAUUGGAAUUUCAAGUACCUUUUCCCUCUCUUUUUAGCCUAGUCUAGACUCUAGAUGAAUCAAUAUCUUUUUGUUAUAAAGCAAUAAGAUUAUAAGAACUAGAAAUGUCAUUGUUGCAUAUCUUACAAAUAUGAAUGAUUUAGCAUUUAAAAAGCCCAAAAUUUUGUUUAAUAAAUCAUCAUUUUUUAUAAUUCAAAGGCUUUAUAAUUAUAUGUUAAGUUAUAGGUGCCAUAUUCCAAAAGGCACCAAAUCAUAUCAUGUGCCCAUCCUAUCAGAUAAAAGAAGGUAUUAAGGAAAAAUAACACUCAAGUUAUUUCGGGGUAAAUAACACCCAAGUUAUUCCGGGGGAAUAACACCUAAGGAAAAAUUCGUUCAAAGCUUAUAAAAAUGGCAAGAGGGGGGAAUUAGUUCCGCAAUCCUUUAGUCUAAGGAAAUCGCACCCAAAGGUCAUACAAUUAAGGAAAUACACAAGGUUGAAAUAUUUCCCUAGAUCAUAUUCACCUCCACGUGUACAAAAAUGAUGGGUGGCAUAUCAAAGCAAAACCCUAAAUCCACAUCAUUCAUCAUCUAUAAAUAGAGACCCAUCUCUAAGAGAAAGGAGGUUUUUGGCCUCCAAGAUCAUUGUUCAUCCUUAGAGAGAAAAAACUCAUUUUCUCCAUCUUUCUUCUUUAUUUAAUCUUGAUCAAACACUAACUUAGGCGUCGAAGUACCCUUUUCAAGUACUCACCCUUCCGGAAUCGAGGCCAACGAUUGUGACAAGUUCUCUACAAGCUACAAAUACGUGUAAAGGUAAAAAAUUCCAACACCUUCAUUGGAGCCGUCUAUGGGGAAACUAGGUUGAAAAUUUUUCUCUCACUAAAACCCACAUGAACACUACUUUACCAUCAUCUUUUUAGAUUAGAUCUGGUUGGGUGUAGUUGAAAAAGAGAUGAAUACUCAUAUAUGCUUAUGAAAAAUGGGUUUAUGUGUGACACUCAAACGUCAAACGUGCUUAAAAAGGCAUUAAAGCCAAAAAUCCAAGAGCAAAAAUGGAGAUCUCUCCUCCAAAUGCCUUACUGGAAAAAAAAAUAGAGAAAAUAAAGAAGAUGAAGGAGUCAUUUGGUCAACAUAAAACUUUGACCAAAAAUAAAAUGUCAACAAUAGUCAAAUGGGCUUAAAAUAGUCUCCAUGGCUAAACCUAAGACUAAUUUAUCAUUCAUUUUAUUUUCUCUUCAUUUUCCUUUUAUUAUGCUCAUUCCUAGCAACUAUGCUAACUUAUUUACGUUCCUGCCAUUCUAUUUAUUCUAUGAUACUUCUUUCUUUUUCCACGAGUGAGGCUAAGAAAAACCUAAGCAUCUACCUUACCAAGGGGAAUAUAUGAAGGGUAUUAAACGGACGUGGAUCAACAUAACUCUAUGUUUUAAUCUAACAAUUAUAAUAUUUUUUACUUUACUUGACUUACAAACGUGUGAGGCUAAGGAAAACCCAAAUAUUGACCUCCCGAUGGGAAAUAGAUAAAUGGGUAUUAUACCGACAUGGAUUAACUUAAUUUUCCUGACAUAAUAUGCAACUAAUAAUUAUCUUUACGCAUCUAACCUUUACAAUUACGUAUUUACUCUUCAGUUAUUUGCAAAUUUCAUAAUGUUAGAUGCUGAUUCUGGAAGGAAGUAGAAACUAUGGAAAACCAAAAAUUAAAUGCAAAAUUACCUGCAUUGGAGCAACAGUUAAAAGAGUAGCCUCGGAAAAGCUAAAAACAAGCAGAGAGACAAAUUGGUCACCAAAAGAGAGGGUCGGAACCCACAUAGAAUAAGCCCAAAAACAAAUAUAAUGAGCUGAUAGUGAUGAGGAACGAAGGUUCCAAAGAUGCCUAUGGAAGGGAACUCAAAAGAUCCUAAAGGAGCUCUAAAAAAAAUUUUCAGAUGUCAUCCACACCAGAUGAUGCAUGCUCUUAAGCAACAGCCAAAAGAGUAGCCCGGAAAAGCUAAAAAGAAACAAAGUGGUAAAUUGCUCACCAAAAGAGAUGGUCCAAAUUCACACAAAAUAAACAUAAAAAGGCACAUAAGGAACUGAUAGUGAUGAGGAACAAAGGUUCCAAAAAUGCCUACAGCAAAAAAUUCAAAAGAUCCUAAGAAGAAUCUAGAAAAAAUUUCCAGGUGGCUUCUACAGCAAAUGAUGCCAUUGUAGCAGCCCUAUUAGGAAAAAGUUAAAGUUCAUUUGAAUGACAUUCUAGACUAAUCUAAAUGAUUAUUUAGAUUGAUAUCUUGUAAAAGAGGAACAUUCUGUUUUAGCUCUUACAACUCUUGAAAAUAUUGAUCGAAUUGACAUUGUGCAACUCAUUUACUCGGGCAAUUGAUCACAAAAUGUAAAAACUAUUCCAUAGUCUCAAAAAACUCAUGCACUGCACUAAUGAGCAUUCGCAUGCAUAAACAUUCAUAUCUAUGCAUCUCACAGGAAUCCACAUUCAUCGUUGACUUAUGAGCGCUCAUGAUCAUCUCAUACAUUAUCAUAUAUGCUUCCAAAAAUCUCAAAAUUCAUUUUACAACCGACCAAAUUGCCUAUGGAAAUUUCUCAUUUCUUGGUACAACUUUAGUAUAUGAAAAAGUUCAAGGAACAAGGAAUUUUCCCUUUUAUGUCAAGAGAAAAGUAACAAAAAAUAUUCCCUCCUACGUCGAGGGAAAAUUAGAUUUCUAGAUCAAAAAACAAGAAAUAUUUCCUCCUACGUCAAGGGAAAAGGUGAAAGAACAAAAAAAAUUGGAAAAGCUGAAAGAAAAAAAAAAUUCCCUCAUACACCAAGGGAAAAGUAGAUUUCCUCCUAGAAUUUCAGUUCAAGGGAAAAGUUUUAGAAACAAUUAAUAUUCCUCUAUUAUAUUACAGGGAAAGUAGAUUUCCUCAUAGAACCUUAAUUCAAGGGAAAUAUCUAAGAACAAUUAAUAUUCCCUCUUAUGUUAAGGAAGAACAAUUAGUAUAUUUCCACAAAAAAAUUCCAGUUUAGGAGAAAAUUUCCCUAAUAAAAUUAUUCGAAACAACUUAUUUUUCCCAAGGCUAAUGUAAAGGAAAAACAUCCCUGAGCCAAUAAGAAGAAAAAUUUCCUUAAUGAAAGUCGUCCGCAAUAAAUCAUAUUUCCUAGGCUAACAAAGUGGAAAAAUAUUCCCAAGGCCAACACGCCCUCUUCAUUUCACCCAAACAAAAAUUGAUCGUGCAUAUCAGCCCAUAUAAAUCAACUAAGGUUCAGUUACCAACCAAAUGUUCCAUCCAACCAUAACAACAUAAUACCACACCUGACAAUUAUACAAGACACUAGAUUAAACAAAACUGAAGUACUACAUCCAGCCCUUGCUUGCCAAACGGAAAGCUUCUGAAGGGAUAGAACUGUUCAACUAGUUGAACAAAGUACUACAUAUGGGCGAUACAAACUUCUAAAGGUUUCGUUGCAAAAACUUUAUCAUUCUAUCAAAGAUAGAGGGUUGUUGUACCCCUACUACCUUUCAUCGGAAAAGAUCACAAGUGAGAUAGUAGCAGAUUCUAUUAAUUCCAUGCUGCCCAUGGGCAUACCACAUCAUUAUGUUGUGGUGUGAAAAAUCAAUUAGAAGAUUUAAUAAGAAAUCGUUACCUAAAUGAAUAUAUUGAUAAGAUUUAAUAAGAAACCGUUACCUAAAUGAAUAUGUUGAUGACUCUUUUCUCUUGGUAGAUCAAUCGUACAUACCAAAGGAGGCAGGUAUAGUAAACCUAAUAAGAGAAGAACCAACAACUAGAGUUAUCGCAAGAGGCCCCACACUAGCAGGAGGUUUCAAUAGGCCUGCAAAAAUUAUGGGAAAUAUACUAUGCCCAACCACAAUGUCCUUUUUAAUAAGCCUUUACCAGAGCUCACAAAAACUAGCCAAGUAACAUUUAUGUGGACCGAAGAUGACAAAGAAGAAGUGUUGUACCCUAAUGCAUAUGCACUAGUUAUUAAGGCAAAUGUAGCAAGCAAGGAGCAUAAUAAAAUUCUAGUAGAGUUAGGCAGUUUAGUUGACAUUUUUUUAAGCCAGUUUAGAUCAGAUGGGAACAACGGAUUUGAAGUUAAAGCCCAUCAAUACCUCAUUAAAAGGGUUUGGAGGAGGAAAUUGAUGUUAAUAGGAGUUAUGGACCUACCGAUCACUGUUAGGAUGAAACCUUUUGGAAAUAAAAUGAUGUUGACUUUAUAUAUAUAUAGGAAAAUAGUUCUUACUAGACCUACUAGAUAAUACUUAAGAGAACUUUUUUGAGAAUUAAUAAGUCUGUAAUGUCCACCUACUAUUUGAUACUUAAAUAUUGAAUAAAAUGGUAUGAUAAGGUAAGGUGACUAGAGGGUGGUGAAGAGCUGUUACGAAUCAGCGGCCAAUGAGACAAUAUAGAUCACAUCCUUUGACACGCGAGGAGAGUCUAAGAAAGGCAAACAAAAACCAAUGGAGACCCUAAUAAUGAUGAAAUCAAAUAAGCUUGAAAACCAUUAAGAUAGGAUCCAAGUUGGAGAGUGAAUUGAAAACUAGAUUACAAGAAUUUAUGUGGCAACGCUCUGAUGUGUUCGCCAAGAUGAUAAAAGAUCUUUCAAUCAAAAGAGAUACGAUGUUAUUAGUGUGGAGGUAGACAAGCUCUUGCAUGUUGGCUUUAUUAGAGAAGUAAGUAACCUUGAUUGGAUAUUUAAUACGGUGCUGGUGAAAAAGGCCAACGAUAAAUGGAGAAUAUGUGUAGAUUUCACAGACUUUAAUAAGGCAUGCCCAAAGAACAAUUUCCCAUUACCAAAAAUUGAUCAGUUGUUCAUCUCCACAUCAGAACACGACCUCCUCAGUUUUAUAGAUGGAUUUUCAAGAUACAAUUAGAUUCUCAUUUUCAAGUUGGAUAAGGAGCAUAAUGACUUUAUUAUUAAUCAAGGACUUUACAGUUACAAAGUAAUGCCCUUUGGCUUGAAAAACAAUAGAGCAAUAGACGAGAGGCUACUUAACAACAUCUUUAAGCCCUUGAUAGGUAGCUCAAUGGAAGUAUAUAUGGACAACAUGAUUAUCAAGUCUAAGGAUCUUACCGAUCACAUGUAGCAUCUAGAGGAGAACUUUAGCCUAUUAAGGAAAUACCAGAUGAAGUUAAAUCUAAAACAGUGUGUGUUUGGAGCAAGCAUCAGGAAAUUCUUAGGGUUCACCAGAAGCCACAAAAGAAUAGAAGCUAAUCCUGAGAAAAUUCGUGUUAUUUUAGAAAUAAGAUCGCCUCUCACAUUAAAAGAGAUACAGGUCUGAUAGGGAAUCUGGCAUCCCUAAAUAGAUUCAUCCUAAAGGCGGCAGACAAAUGUCAUAUUUUCUUCAAGAUCAUGAGAAAAUGAAACAAGACUGAAUAGACACUAGAGUGCAAGGAGGCUUUAGAGUAGUUAAAGGAUUACUUGAGUAGAGCACCAUUAUUGUCAAGUCCGCGAGCAAGGGACAGAUUGUAUAUUUACCUAGUAGUCUCCAGAUGGGCUUCCCGUUCAAUGCUAAUAAGGGAGGAAGCAGAAGCACAACACCCAGUUUAUUAUACUAGUGAAGCCUUCCUUGAUGUAAAGACUCGGUACCAACCAGUAGAGAAAUACGCCUUGGCAUUGAUGGCCCUUGUUCGAAAGCUAAGACCUUACUUUCAAGCAUACCCAAUUGAGGUUCUGACAAACUUGUCAUUGCGUCAAACCCUACACAAGCUCGAAGCCUCAAAGCGUUUAGUAAAGCGGUCAGUGGAAUUGAACGAGUAUGAUAUCAGCUAUAGACUGUGAGCAACAAUAAAGGUAUAAACACUAGUAGAUUUUGUAGUAAAGUGGUCAGAGCAACAUCAAAAAGCCCUUAUAGUUAAAGGCAAUGAGGAGCCAAAGAAGCUACCAGAAGAUACGAGCAGGAAUUGGUUGGUAUUAGCAAAUUAGUACUCUCGAGUUUGUGGAGCUGGAGCAAGGAUAGUCUUAUACAACCCUAAAGGCAAGAAAGUUUUUUAUGCUAUAAAACUCGAAUUAAAGGCGACCAACAAUAAAGCAAAAUAUGUAGCCUUCAUCAAUAGGUUGAAAUUAAAGCAUGCUUCACAAGACGAUAAAGUAAAAGUUAAAACAUAUUUCCAUCUAAUAGUGAAUCAUUUGAAUGGAAACUUUCUGGCAAAAGGGAGGGGAAAUAAAGGCAAACCUGAACAAAGCCAAGCAAAUGGCAACCAAAUUUCAACAACUCAUAAUAGAGCAUAUCUCGAGGGAAGAGCAUUACAAAGUAGACGUCCUUGUUAGGCUGCUAUCUCGGCACACUCUAAGAUCCCAAAAUACGUCCCGGUAGAGGCCAGGACUACACCAAGUGUCGAAGUCGAACUCGAGAUAAUGCAUGUUGAUAAAGGGGAAAGUUGGAUGGACCCAAUCAUUUCGUAUAUUCGAGAUGGGAAAUUGCUAGAAGACAAUAUCCAGCUACAGUACAAGGGGUGUAUCGUACCUUUCUUUUAUCUUUUUGUGCUACCAUCAUUAGAGCUGACACAAAAG